GACAGAGGGUGCAAACGUUGUUCGGAAUUACUGGGCGUAAAGCGCGUGUAGGCUGCUCAGAAAGUCAGACGUGAAAUCCCUCGGCUUAACCGGGGAACUGCGUCUGAUACUGGAUGGCUCGAGUUUGGGAGAGGGAUGCGGAAUUCCAGGUGUAGCGGUGAAAUGCGUAGAUAUCUGGAGGAACACCGGUGGCGAAGGCGGCAUCCUGGACCAACACUGACACUGAGGAGCGAAAGCCAGGGGAGCAAACGGG
rnacentral:rRNA from 1 species